rnacentral:sRNA from 1 species
UUUCGCCUUGCUCUCUUUAAAAGCGGCCUCCCAUUCUCCAAAAGACACUUUCCCUCCUCCCUUUGAAGUGCAUUAGUUGUGAUUUCUGCCUCCUUUUCUUUUUUCUUUCUUUUUUGUUUUGCUUUUUCCCCCCUUUUGAAUUAUGUGCUGCUGUUAAACAACAACAAAAAAACAACAAAACACAGCAGCUGCGGACUUGUCCCCGGCUGGAGCCCAGCGCCCCGCCUGGAGUGGAUGAGCCUCUCCAUGAGAGAUCCGGUCAUUCCUGGGACAAGCAUGGCCUACCAUCCGUUCCUACCUCACCGGGCGCCGGACUUCGCCAUGAGCGCGGUGCUGGGUCACCAGCCGCCGUUCUUCCCCGCGCUGACGCUGCCUCCCAACGGCGCGGCGGCGCUCUCGCUGCCGGGCGCCCUGGCCAAGCCGAUCAUGGAUCAAUUGGUGGGGGCGGCCGAGACCGGCAUCCCGUUCUCCUCCCUGGGGCCCCAGGCGCAUCUGAGGCCUUUGAAGACCAUGGAGCCCGAAGAAGAGGUGGAGGACGACCCCAAGGUGCACCUGGAGGCUAAAGAACUUUGGGAUCAGUUUCACAAGCGGGGCACCGAGAUGGUCAUUACCAAGUCGGGAAGGCGAAUGUUUCCUCCAUUUAAAGUGAGAUGUUCUGGGCUGGAUAAAAAAGCCAAAUACAUUUUAUUGAUGGACAUUAUAGCUGCUGAUGACUGUCGUUAUAAAUUUCACAAUUCUCGGUGGAUGGUGGCUGGUAAGGCCGACCCCGAAAUGCCAAAGAGGAUGUACAUUCACCCGGACAGCCCCGCUACUGGGGAACAGUGGAUGUCCAAAGUCGUCACUUUCCACAAACUGAAACUCACCAACAACAUUUCAGACAAACAUGGAUUUGUAAGUUUCAUUGCUCUCUUCAGUAAAAUUUUCUCCUUCUUCACUCAGUCAAAGGCAGUGCUUCCCCAUUUCAUGAGUUUCAGCCCAGACUUCUCCUUUGCUUCUCCCUAAGCAUAGCAAACUUGUCCUUGUCUGGAAAAAGGAUUCGGGGUGUUUCUCUCCAGAUAAUGGAAGGCCUGGCGUUCUAAAAGAAAUGGGGCAAGAAAACUUACCGGCUUGUGUUCUAUAGCAAUUCCAGCUCUUUGGUAGAUUCCUGACCUGAGAGUGAAGUUAAAAACCUUUUUUAAGAGCUAAAAUCAAUUUCAAGGCUAUGUAUUCCUAAAGGAUUUGUUUUGUUUUAAAAUAUCAUACUUCUGUUUUGAAACCAGCGAUAUUAUUUUCUCAGGAGAGUUUACGUUUCGGAGCCUUGACUCUGUUGGUUAAAUGGUGUGAAUACAUUUUUAAAAACUCGUUCUUUUACUAAAAAAAGAAUUGGGCUUAGGUGGGAGUCCGGCUUACCCUAAAUGAGGCUUAGAUCUUCAGAAAAAAAUGGUUUGUGUGUUGGGAGUGUAUAUAUGGAUUCAGUGAGAGUGCUUAGAAACUUAGAAAACUUGCAUUGCUUGUAGAUAUCAGGCAAAGGACCUUUUGCGCCUUUUCCUACCCCUCCCCAACAUUUCAAUAAAAUAAACAGCGUGAUAAGCAAGGAGUAAGCAGAAAGAUUAGGCCCAGGAAGACGCGAAUGGCACGGAAAUAUCUUCAGCGGGCAGGAAUUGCAUUUGAAGCCCUUGAUUUGAUUAAGGCAUAAAUAUUCCUCUCUAGAGUUCAGCCUUUCAGGGCUUUAAGUGGAUUGGGCUCGUCAAUUAGUGGGCGCUUAAAGUACUGAAUCAUUUUGUAAAUUAAAAUGCAUGUUUUUCUCUAUCUUUUAAGACUUUGGCCUUCCCAAG